rnacentral:lncRNA from 1 species
GAUUCUUGUUUUCAGGUGGUGCUCCUCCGUUGAAGAAUUACCUGAUGAAAUUGGGGAGCUCAAGGAGUUAAGGUUGUUGGAUUUGACAGGUUGGCAAAAUCUAAGAAGGAUUCCUGUGAAUUUGAUUGCAAGGUUGAAGAAGUUAGAAGAACUGUUGAUCGGGGAUCAGAGCUUCAAGGGAUGGGAUGUUGUUGGAUGUGACAGCACAGAAGGAAUGAAUGCAAGCCUAACAGAACUAAGUUCGCUGUCUCAUUUAGCUGUAUUAUCAUUGAAGAUACCGAAGGUUGAAUGCAUUCCCAGAGAUUUUGUUUUUCCCAGCUUGCUCAAAUAUGAUAUAGUGUUAGGGGAUGGGUAUUCAGAAAGAGUAUACCCAACAAAAUUAUGUUUGGGUGAUAUCAGCGCCGCAUCCUUAAAUGCAAAGACAUUUGAGCAGUUGUUUCCUACUGUGUCUCAAAUUGGUUUUAGCAACGUUGAGGGUUUAGAAAAUAUAGUAUUGUCCUCUGAUCAGAUGACCACCCAUGGCCAUGGGUCGCGAAAGGACUUCUUUCAAAGAUUAGAAUAUGUAGAAGUGAGUGAUUGUGGGGAUAUUCGCACUCUGUUUCCAGCAAAAUGGCGGCAAGCUUUGAAAAAUCUGAGGAUUGUGGAAAUUGAAUGCUGCAAUUCAUUGGAAGAGGUAUUUGAAUUGGAUGAAGGAAUUAACGAGGAGAAGGAGCUGUCAUUUUUAACGGGGUUACGGCUGUACCGGUUACCUGAGCUCAAAUAUAUAUGGAAAGGGCCCACUAGACAUGUCAACCUCCAAAGUCUUACUUGUCUGGCGUUGGCGUCUCUUCACAAACUAACAUUUAUCUUUACACCGUCCCUCGCUCAAGGUCUUAUUCAUCUGGAAACACUACAUAUAGCAGAUUGUCUUGGAUUGAAGCAUCUUAUCAGAGAACAUGAUGAUGAAAUAAUUCCAGAGUCUCUUGACAAACUGACAUUUAUCUUUACACCGUCCCUCGCUCAAGGUCUUAUUCAUCUGGAAACACUACAUAUAGCAGAUUGUCCUGGAUUGAAGCAUCUUAUCAGAGAACAUGAUGAUGAAAUAAUUCCAGAGUCUCUUGGCUUCCCAAGAUUAAAAACUCUUUAACAUGUUUUCCCUGUCUCCGUGUCUCCAAGUUUUCAGAACCUGGAAGAGAUGGAGAUUCGUGAAGCUAACAAUUUAAAGCAAGUAUUUUACAGUGGAGAAGGAGAUGACAUCAUCGUCAAGUCUAAAAUUAAAGAUGGCAUCAUCGACUUCCCUCAGCUAAGAAAAUUGUCUCUUAUUUUCGUAUCAAGUUGCAGCUCUUUUGGUCCAAAGAAUUUUGCUGCCCAAUUGCCUUCUUUACAAGAGUUAACCAUUAAUGGCCACGAAGAAGGGGGUAAUUUGUUGGCACAGCUUCAAGUAUGUUCUUUAUAUUUCUCCAUUUUUUUUCUUUUCUAAUUUAAAUUGUCAACUUCAAUACAUUGUGAUAAUUUGUUCUAUCUUCCUCCAAAUUUCUAAAACCAAAGUAAUUGAUAAGUUCUUUAACCAUCCACUGAAUUUAAUUGAUGAUUUAAAUUGGCUUAGGAAGUUAGACAUCAAUUACUGUAAUGUAAUUUCUUAUUUCUUCCUUCAUAUUUCUAAAACUAAAGUAAUGGAUAAAUGGUAGCAAAUCCUUUAGCCAUCCACUGAAUUUAAAAGGAGUGAAAUUGAGGCUCUUCCGCCAAUUAAUGGAAAGUAUUUGGACAGGACGAUAAAGCUUCGUAUUUGGUUUUUUUUUUCUUCUAAACAAUUAGAGUUAAAAAGUAAAAAUUGAAACUUUUUUUUAAACACAAUAUUUUCUCAUUCAAAGAAAUUCAAAAGUACCAAAUUUGUAUUGAAUUCAAAAAACAUAUUGUUUUAAUAUUUUUUUUCAUUUUGUUUUACAAUUUGUUAUCACUUUUUUUAUGAAAAAAAUAAUUUAAAUGAUCAAUAAUCAAGCAUUUUUAUUAAAACAUUUUACUAAUAUGUAAAAUUCAAAUUAUUUUCUUUUUUAUUUUUAUUUUUGGAAAAUGUUAUAAUUUUUUUUAUUAUAAAUCGAAUAUAAAAAAUUAAUUUUUUUGAGUUAAUGAUUAUAAUUUUUUCAUGAUUGCUUUUAAUUUAACUAAUAUAAAAUAAUAGUUUAUAUUUAGAUUAUCAUAAAUAUAAAAAAAUAUGAUUUUAUAUUCCCACGACUUGUUGCGCUGUCUAUUUAUAUUUCUUGUUGAUAAAUAUUUCGGCAUUGGGGAUAAUUGGUUCAUCUAUUUAACAAAAUUAUAUAAUAGUUUCAAAGUGCACAAAAAUUAAUAGGAAUUAUAUCUAACAAAUUAUAUCUAACAAAAUUACUUUGGUACCCUUAUUUUCUUUUGAUGCAGGGGUUAACAAGUUUGGAAACAUUAAAGUUGUCCUCCCUGCGUGUGCCUGACUUGAGGUGUAUAUGGAAGGGUCUCCUGCCGAGCGAUUUGACUACUUUGAAGGUAAACAAGUGUAAGAGACUGACACAUGUAUUCACAGACAGCAUGAUUGCUAGUCUAGUUCAACUGGAAUUUCUAAAGAUAUCAAAUUGUGAGGAAUUGGAGCAAAUCAUUGCUAAGGAUAAUGAUGAUGAAAAUGAUCUCCAAUCUUCAUGCUUUCCUAAUUUGUGUCGACUUGUGAUCAGAGGAUGCAACAAGUUGAAGAGUCUCUUCCCGAUAGUCAUGGCUUCAGGUCUCAAAAAGCUCCAAGAACUUGAAGUAAGGGAAUCCUCUCAAUUAUUGGGAGUAUUUGGGCAGGAUGAUCAUGCUUCACCUGCCAAUCUUGAGAAGGAGAUGGUGCUCCCUGAUCUGCACAAGUUGUUGCUUGUACAAUUACCAAGCAUUUCCUCCUUUAGUCUCGGAUGUUCUAAUUUCUUGUUCCCUCAUUUGAAGAAGUUGAAGGUGGAUAGAUGUCCAAAGCUGUCCACAAGAAUUGGUACUACAUCAAAUGGUUCAAUGAGUGCUCAAUCAGAGGUGCUGUAUAUUUGACAUGAUUUCUUGCCUCUCGUUUAGUUUUAAAAGUGCACAAUAAUUACUAGGAAUUACAUCUAACAAAUCGGUACCCUUGUUUUCUUUUGAUGUAGGGGUUUAUGAAUUUGAAAGAAAUAUCUAUUGAAACUUGGAAGGAGUACAAGAUUAAUGCAGUUGGAUUUGGUAACUAAUAGAAGAGGUGGCAUGAACUUUCAUUGGUGAGUUUGGAAACAUUACACUUGAACUAUUGCCUGACAUGAGGUGUAUAUGGAAGGGCUCGUGCCGUGCAAUUUGACUACUUUGAAGUGAACGAGUGUAAGAGACUGACACAUGUAUUCACAGACAACAUGAUUGCUAGUCUAGUUCAACUGAAAGUUCUAGAGAUAUCAAAUUGUGAGAAUUGGAGCAAAUCAUUGCUAAGGAUAAUGAUGAUGAAAAUGAUCUCCAAUCUUCAUGCUUCCCUAAUUUGUAUCGACUUGAGAUCACAGGAUGCAACAAGUUGAAGAGUCUCUUCCCGAUAGCCAUGGCUUCAGGUCUCAAAAAGCUCCAAGAACUUGAAGUAAGGAAUCCUCUCAAUUAUUGGGUAUUUGGGCAGGAUAUCAUGCUUCACCUGCCAAUCUGAGAAGGAGUGGUGCUCCCUGAUCUGCACAAGUUGUUGCUUGUACAAUUACCAGCAUUUCCUCCUUUAGUCUCAGAUGUUCUAAUUUCUUGUUCCCUCAUUUGAAGAAGUUGGAGGUGCGUGAUGCCAAAGCUGACCAUAUAAUCUACUACAUCAAAUGACUCAAUGAGUGUUCAAUCAAGGUGCUGUGAUUUGACAUGAUUUCUUGCCUCUUGUUUAGUUUUAAAAGUGCACAAUAAUUACUAGGAAUUACAUCUAACAAAUCGGUACCCUUGUUUUCUUUUGAUGUAGGGGUUUAUGAAUUUGAAAGAAAUAUCUAUUGAAACUUGGAAGGAGUACAAGACUUAAUACAGGUUGGAAGUUUGGUAACUAUUAGAAGUGGUCGGCAUGAACUUUCAUUGGUGAGUUUGGAAACAUUACACUUGAACUUAUUGCCUGACAUGAGGUGUAUAUGGAAGGGUCUCGUGCCGUGCAAUUUGACUACUUUGAACGUGAACGAGUGUAAGAGACUGACACAUGUAUUCACAGACAACAUGAUUGCUAGUCUAGUUCAACUGAAGUUCUAGAGAUAUCAAAUUGUGAGAAUUGGAGCAAAUCAUUGCUAAGGAUAAUGAUGAUGAAAAUGAUCUCCAAUCUUCAUGCUUCCCUAAUUUGUUCGACUUGAGAUCAGAGGAUGCAACAAGUUGAAGAGUCUCUUCCCGUAGCCAUGGCUUCAGGUCUCAAAAAGCUCCAAGAACUUGAAGUAAGAGAAUCCUCUCAAUUAUUGGGAGUAUUUGGGCAGGAUGAUCAUGCUUCACCUGCCAAUCUUGAGAAGGAGAUGGUGCUCCCUGAUCUGCACAAGUUGUUUGCUUGUACAAUUACCGCAUUUCCUCCUUUAGUCUCGAUGUUCUAAUUUCUUGUUCCCUCAUUUGAAGAAGUUGGAGGUGGUGGAUGCCCAAAGCUGACCACAUAUCUGCUACUACAUCAAAUGACUCAAUGAGUGCUCAAUCAGAGUGUUGAUUUGACAUGAUUUCUUGCCUCUUGUUUAGUUUUAAAAGUGCACAAUAAUUACUAGGAAUUACAUCUAACAAAUCGGUACCCUUGUUUUCUUUUGAUGUAGGGGUUUAUGAAUUUGAAAGAAAUAUCUAUUGGAAACUUGGAAGGAGUACAAGAUUUAAUGCAAGUUGGAUGUUUGGUAACUAAUAGAAGUGGGGCAUGAACUUUCAUCGUGAGUUUGGAAACAUUACACUUGAACUUAUUGCCUGACAUGAGGUGUAUAUGGAAGGGUCUCGUGCCGUGCAAUUUGACUACUUUGAAGUGAACGAGUGUAAGAGACUGACACAUGUAUUCACAGACAACAUGAUUGCUAGUCUAGUUCAACUGAAGUUCUAGAGAUAUCAAAUGUGAGGAAUUGGAGCAAAUCAUUGCUAAGGAUAAUGAUGAUGAUGAUCUCCAAUCUUCAUGCUUCCCUAAUUUGUAUCGACUUGAGAUCAGAGGAUGCAACAAGUUGAAGAGUCUCUUCCCGUAGCCAUGGCUUCAGGUCUCAAAAAGCUCCAAAACUUGAAGUAAGGAAUCCUCUCAAUUAUUGGGAGUAUUUGGGCAGGAUGAUCAUGCUUCACCUGCCAAUACUUGAGAAGGAGAUGGUGCUCCCUGAUCUGCACAGUUGUUGCUUGUACAAUUACCAAGCAUUUCCUCCUUUAGUCUCGGAUGUUCUAAUUUCUUGUUCCCUCAUUUGAAGAAGUUGGAGGUGCGUGAAUGCCCAAAGCUGACCACAAUAAUCUGCUACUACAUCAAAUGACUCAAUGAGUGUUCAAAUCAAAGGUGCUUGAUUUGACAUGAUUUCUUGCCUCUCGUUUAGUUUUAAAAGUGCACAAUAAUUACUAGGAAUUACAUCUAACAAAUCGGUACCCUUGUUUUCUUUUGAUGUAGGGGUUUAUGAAUUUGAAAGAAAUAUCUAUUGAAAACUUGGAAGGAGUACAAGACUUAAUGCAGUUGGAAGUUUGGUAACUAUUAGAAGUGGUCGGCAUGAACUUUCAUUGGUGAGUUUGGAAACAUUACACUUGAACUUAUUGCCUGACAUGAGGUGUAUAUGGAAGGGUCUCGUGCCGUGCAAUUUGACUACUUUGAACGUGAACGAGUGUAAGAGACUGACACAUGUAUUCACAGACAACACGAUUGCUAGUCUAGUUCAACUGAAAGUUCUAGAGAUAUCAAAUUGUGAGGAAUUGGAGCAAAUCAUUGCUAAGGAUAAUGAUGAUGAAAAUGAUCUCCAAUCUUCAUGCUUCCCUAAUUUGUAUCGACUUGAGAUCAGAGGAUGCAACAAGUUGAAGAGUCUCUUCCCGAUAGCCAUGGCUUCAGGUCUCAAAAAGCUCCAAGAACUUGAAGUAAGGGAAUCCUCUCAAUUAUUGGGAGUAUUUGGGCAGGAUGAUCAUGCUUCACCUGCCAAUCUUGAGAAGGAGAUGGUGCUCCCUGAUCUGCACAAGUUGUUGCUUGUACAAUUACCAAGCAUUUCCUCCUUUAGUCUCAGAUGUUCUAAUUUCUUGUUCCCUCAUUUGAAGAAGUUGGAGGUGCGUGAAUGCCCAAAGCUGACCACAUAAUCUGCUACUACAUCAAAUGACUCAAUGAGUGUUCAAUCAAAGGUGCUCCUGAUUUGACAUGAUUUCUUGCCUCUUGUUUAGUUUUAAAAGUGCACAAUAAUUACUAGGAAUUACAUCUAACAAAUCGGUACCCUUGUUUUCUUUUGAUGUAGGGGUUUAUGAAUUUGAAAGAAAUAUCUAUUGGAAACUUGGAAGGAGUACAAGACUUAAUGCAGGUUGGAAGUUUGGUAACUAUUAGAAGUGGUCGGCAUGAACUUUCAUUGGUGAGUUUGGAAACAUUACACUUGAACUUAUUGCCUGACAUGAGGUGUAUAUGGAAGGGUCUCGUGCCGUGCAAUUUGACUACUUUGAACGUGAACGAGUGUAAGAGACUGACACAUGUAUUCACAGACAACAUGAUUGCUAGUCUAGUUCAACUGAAAGUUCUAGAGAUAUCAAAUUGUGAGGAAUUGGAGCAAAUCAUUGCUAAGGAUAAUGAUGAUGAAAAUAAUCUCCAAUCUUCAUGCUUCCCUAAUUUGUAUCGACUUGAGAUCACAGGAUGCAACAAGUUGAAGAGUCUCUUCCCAGUAGCCAUGGCUUCACCUGUCAAUGUUGAGAAGAAGAUGGUACUCCCUAAUCUAGAGUUGCUGAUUCUAGAAAAAUUACCAAGUAUUGUCUACUUCAGUCAUGGAUGUUGUGAUUUCAUAUUCCCUUGUUUGAUGAGGUUGAAGGUGCGCAAAUGUCCAAAGCUGACCACAAGAUUUUCUACUACAUCAAAUGGUUCAAUGAGUGCUCAAUCAGAGGUGCUGCAUAUUUGACAUGAUUUCUUGCCUCUUGUCGCACCCCAAAAAAAAUCAGCGCGCGGCAUCGGCUGGCGAUUUAAAUCUCGUUUAUUGCGUUUACUUGAAUUUGGUUCGUUGGAGUCGCCACCUAGUAAUUGAUUUCGGGCUACUAGGAAACCGGAUGUACUGGUCUUGUCAGAGAUUCGCGGGUAAGGGACUGGUUGUGGUUAGGGAAGGUAUUAGCACCCCUAACGCACCCUACCUGAGGUAAGCUGCUUCGUGGCUUUGACGUGUUAAAAAAGUUUUAAUAAUUGUCUUUUCUUCGGAAAUUAGAAAUAUCACUUACGUAUAAGUUAAUAAUUCUUAACCGUGAUCCGAUCAAAAUACUAAAUUCUUCUUUAAUGUAUUUGCAAUCUCAUCCUUAAAAAUAUAUACAAAUGAAUAAAACAAAAUACAAACACACACAUACACGUGUUAAAGAAGUUUUAAUAAUUGUUUUUUUUAUCAGAAAUUAGAAAUAUCACUUAUGUAUAAGUUAAUAAUUCUUAACCGUGAUCCAAUCAAAAUAUUAAAUUCUUCUUUAAUAUAUUUGCAAUUUUGUCACUAAAAAUAUAUACAAAUAAAUAAAACAAAAUACAAACACACACAUACACUUUCACUAUUUUUAUUCUUUUCUUUUCUUUUUCUUUUCUUUUCCUUUUCUUUUACAUCCACAAAAUACAAAUACAAAUACAAAUACAAAUUCAAAAUAAAUAAAUAAAAAUACACCAACACACACAUCCCCUUUAUUAUUAUUUUCUUUUCUUUUCUUCUUUUUUUUUUCUUUUACAUCCAAAUACAAAUACAACUUCAAAUUCAAAAUAAACAAAUAAAAAUUACAUUAAUUAAUUUAAAAAUUACAAAAAACAGUCUCUAAAAUUCUAAAAACAUUUCAGGGAAGGACUUCUGCAGCCGGAACAGUGUUCGUCAUGGUUUCUGGCUCGGGAACAGCGGCGGGCGCGUGGAUCCACGAGCCACCAUCACUGGCGCCACGCGCCGCCGUGAAAAGCUUGGAAACAGCAGAUCCCGAAUGGAUUCUUCUUUUCUGUCUCCCUAAAUCAUCGGUGACCACCUACAGAACAAAAAAAGAAACACACAAACACAGUCGAUUUUAAUUUUUUCUUUGAUUUCAAUCUGUUUUGUUCUUUCUCUUCCAACCGUUUUGGAUCUGCUCCUCUCGGCAGAUUGUUUUUGUUUCCUCUUCUUCUAUUUCAGAUGGGCGGUGGUGGGCGUCUUCUUCUCCUCCGUUUCAGGUGGUGAAGGCAGGUCUGACGGCGGCUGUGUUGCUGCUGGUGUUCGGCGAGCCGGUCGCUGCUACUGGAGGCCGAAUGAAGGGGGGGACUGGCGUUGCGAGAGGGUGGCCGGCUUCGGUGAAGGCCUGUCGAGGCUAGCUUCGGGUUCGUCAGGUGGAGAAGCUGGGAGACUGCGGCGGAGGGGAGAAGGAGCGGCGGCUCUGUGCAGGCUGAGAGGGAAGAUGACGGGGAGAUAGGGACUGAUGGAGGCGACCGGAGGAGAAGAAACCCACGGGUCCAAGCUGGGGAAGCAGCGAUCGUCUUCAACAGGAAGCGCCGGAGCUGCGGAUUGAUUUGGGUGGAGGCGCUGCUAUUGAGAGGAGAAGAAGAUGCUGCUGAGGAAGGGGGUUUCGGCUGGAUCUGCUGGUGAGGGAGAAAGGAAAGAAGAAGAAAAAAUAAUCCGAUGGGGGCUCGGGGGCUGUUUGGCCAGUUGUGGGUGAGGGAGAAGAACUAGGGGAUCCGGUGUGGAGAAGAAAAAAUCAAAACCCCAAAGGGCUGGCAGCUGUGUUUCUGUGGGGGAAAAAAAAUUGUGAGGGGGACGGCGGCUCUUUGAAAAAAAAAUAGGGUGGGGGGGGGAAGAUAGGUUUAAGGUUUUUUUCUUUUUGUAUUUUUCUAGUGUUUCCAAAAUUAGCCCCCCCCUGUCGAAUGUGUUGAGGAAACCAGUAUUUAUAGGCAAAAUGUUGCUAGGUUUUUCAACUUGGUCCCUCAACUUCUUUCUAUUUUGUAAAUUUUGAUUUUUCUUAUUUUUUUGAAAACGAGCAAUAUCAACGUCGACUUAAAUGCGGAAAAUCAAUGAUUUAAAAAUAACGCGUGAAACGUCGAACGCGUUUGAAAAUAUUUUAACAAUUUAAAUUCCUUUUUUAGACGACGUUGAAAAUGCUAAAAUGAUGAAAAUAUAUUAAAAAACAUAUUUUUGGAUUUUCUUUGCUUUUCUCAAUUUUUGGAUUUUUUUGAAAAUAUAUCAAAACAUGGGUCAAAAAUUGGGUAGCAACACCUCUCUUUAAGUGUUUUUAUUUCUUGUAUGCCAUGCUUGAAUGUGUAUGCCAUGCUUGAAUUGGUUUUGCAGGUAUCUCAAGUAGCUGAGGGUUCCAGCACUGGUUGCUAUGUGCCAACCAGCACUGCUAGAAGGUGGACCCGAAGCAAUGGGUGGGAAGAGGAAAAAGAGGAAGAGGAUAGAGUCAGAUGAUUAGUUUGGCAUUGGAAUUUGAAAAACAUGCUACUAAUUCAUUCUUCCAGGUAAAAUGGUUGCAGCUAUUUAUUUUAUAUUUUUCUUUAACUCAACAAAUACGAGAUGCCUGGAUGAUCUUUGUCCUUGAUGUUUGCAUUGGGUUGGUUGGUUACCUAUUUCAUGAUCAACUCGACAUUGGUGGGAAGUAAUUCCAGUUGUUUCAUUAGCUACAACAAUUUGUCUUAUUUCAUGUUUGCAACAGUUUGUUGUGUGAACUUCCAGAAAUAAAGGGUAAUGUUAUGUGUAUAGUAAUUUAUUGUGCGAACCUCCAAAAAAAGGGCUUUUGUUUGUCUGCCCAUUUGUGUUUCUUUUAAAGUGUCCGAACUUCAAAAACGAAAGGCAUAAUGUUUACUCAUUUGUGUGCUUAUUGUUUAAUGUGUGGAUUCUUAUUAUCUUCAUUUUGAUGUUCUAUUUCUAUUACGGAUUCUUUACGUGGUUAACUUGUUAUUGUGCAUAUCGUACAAUAAUAUGGUUUCUACAUGAAUAUAUAUAAAUACAUGUGAAUGAGUAUAUAUAUAUAAAAAAUCAAUUUAUAAAUUUAUUGACAGAAUAUUAAAAAUUCCAAUAUAUAAGUAAAAGGAUAAAUCCUCUAGCUUUGAAAAGAAUUAGCGUUUGCCUUUGAGAUUGUAAAUUUUUUUUUAGCGUAUAUUCAAUUUAAUAUUUUUAAUAAUACAAAUGAAAAUAAACAGCAAAUUUAAUUUAUAAGUGUGACUAUCUCAAAACAUUGUUGAGAUGGAAGAAAGAUUAGUAGAAUAAAAAUAAAAUUAAUAGACUUUUAAAAAGCAAAGAGUUUUUAAUGUUAAAAAUAUUUUUUUUAUUUAAUAGACCCAAUUUUGUAUUUUUUUUAAAAGAUAACUCUAUUUUAAUUCUGAUUCUUUCGCAACACAAUUUUUCAUUCACCAUAACACACACACUUUUUUUUUUUUAAUAAUUAACAUGUCAUAUUAAUGAGGAGAGGUAUUUGAAUUGGGUGAGGCUGAUGAAGGAACUAAGUAGCUGUCGCUGCUGUCAUCUUUAACAGAGUUACGGCUGUACUAGUUACCUGAGCUCAAAUAUAUAUAGAAGGGGCCUACUAGAUAUGCUGAACUUGUGGUAUCUUGACAAACUGACAUUUAUCUUCCCUGUGUCUCCAAGUCUUCUGAACCUGGAACAGAUAACGAUUAAAUUUGCUGACAAUUUAAAGCAAAUAUUUUACAGUGGAGAAGGAGAUGUACUCACCAGAGAUGGCAUCAUCAACUUCCCUCAGCUAACAAAAUUGAUUCUUUCAAAUUGCAGCUUUUUUGGCCCAAAGAAUUUUGCUGCCCAAUUGCCUUCUUUGCAAGUGUUAACCAUUAAAGGCCAUGAAGAAUUGGGUAAUUUGUUGCCACAGCUACAAGUACGUCCUUUUUAUUUCUCCUCUGAUUUUCUCCUUUUGAAUUUAAAUUGUCAUAUUCAAUACAUUGUGAUAAUUUCUUAUUUCUUCCUUCAGAUUUCUAAAACUAAAGUAAUGGAUAAAUGCUAGCAAAUCCUUUAGCCAUCCACUGAAUUUAAAAGGAGUGAAAUUGAGGCUUUUCCGCCAAUUAAUAAAAAAUGGUUUUUUUAUCCGAUUUUCUAAACAAUUAGAGUCAAAAAGUAAAAAUUGAAACUUUCUUUUUAAAUACAAUAUUUUCUCAUUCAAAGAACUUCAAAAGCAACAAAUUUGUAAUUAAACAGACCCGAUAAAAGAAAUUCUACUUCAAUUUUUUGUCAAGAUAUGUCUAUCUUGAUAGAACAAAUGAAGGAUGUAUUUCUCCUCCUCCAAUACUCCAAUAGUAUAGGUUCAAGCCUCAUUCCCUAUGUAGAGGGGGGGACUGUUAAACUUGAUGAUUAGAGUAGUGUUUAGUUAUUAUUUUAGAAUAUAAAUUAAAGAUAAAGAUAGUGAAAAUGGAGAAGACAUGUUUUCAUAUAGUUUUUUUUUUUAAGAAUAUAAAAAUUCAUAAAAAAAAUUAUUCCAAAAACAGAUUUAUUUUAUGUAACAAUCUUCAUUUUCUUCAACAAAUAUAUUCUUGUCUCUUAUGUAUUUGUUUAUUCCAACUUAAAAUAUUAAUUAAAUAGUCUAAUUUUUUAAUUUGAUCUAUGAUUUAAAAAAAACAUUUUAUUAUCACAACAUAGAGUAAAAGUUUAAAAAAGAAACAUUCACGGGCCUACACAGCACAUGAGCUGAUUAAAUGACGACAAUUCCAUUAGCAAAUUUGUGCUACAAAUGACAAAAUAAAAACAAACUCAGCAAACAAGAUCAGUCCUAAUUAAUUUUGUCAAUUGUUGGCCUAUUCCAAACUAUCAAGUAUUGAACCUUUCCAAAUUAAUUGCUUUUUUUUUUUCAAUUUGUUUUGGUCUAAUUGCAUUGAUUGGUUGGUUGAUUGAAUGAAUGGUGCAGUCCCCAUUUUCAUUUACUUUUGGCAUUACACAAAAACAUCCCUUUCAAGUUACAAAACGACGUGCAGCUCAGUCAAUGCCUUCAUUGCCUACCGCCUUCAAAAAAUCAACUGCUUAGUUAGAUUCGUCCUUGGCUUGCUUAGAGCGACAACCACAUUAAAUGACAGCCACCGAAAUGUUUGACAUGUGGCCUAGAAUGUGAAUUAUGUGUUAACAAUUAGCUAAUUUUUUAAUUCUCUUAAUUUGAUUAAUUUAAUUAGUUACGGUGGCUGAGAGGUAGUAUCUAAUAAAUUUGUGCUACAAAUAACUUAAAAAAAAUAAACUCAGCAAUCAAGAUCAGUUCUAAUUAAUUUUUACACAAGUAUAUUGUCAACUGUUGGCCUAUUCCAAACUGAGAAAAUUAAGUUGGAAAAUAAAGGGAAUAUUUUUAAUCAAAUAGAAAAAGUAAUACCCAUAAAUUGAAAAAUAACUUAACUCAAAUUAUAAAAGUAAUACCCAAUAUAACUUAAAUUUAGCUUAUAGUACGUAUGCUUCUUAUUCUUACCCAUAAAAUUGGCAAUUUCCUGUACGGCAUAAGCUUCUUAUUAAUAAACACUAAUGAUCCAACAAUUGAACCAUGUAUAUAUGUUAUUAAAUGAAUUGAAGCUCCUUUUGAAAUUUGGACAUCAAAGAAUUCGGACCUAUACUUGCUAACUACAGUAGCAUGUUAACUCUAGUCCUUAAUGCUUUAAACUUUUUUUUUUCAACAAUUUCUUUGACACAAUAAAUUGUACUUUCAUUGAAAUUAGGCUCUUUAAAUUCAAAAUUACACCAUUAUAGAUAUUCACAUAAAAUGGCCCACUCAAUCACAGCUUUGUAAAAGCCUAACAAGUAGCUAGCAACUUAAUGGCUUAAUCGACAAAAGCUUUCAGUCGAGUAAAUAAGUUCGGUGUUUCAGUUAAGUUAGAAUUCAGUUACUUAAUUUUAGAAAAAGAAAAAACAACGAGUUUUUUCUUUAUAUUUUACUCUAUACUAAAAAAAAAUCAAUUUUUCACCAUGAAUUCGCAUAAUUAAAGACUGAUUUUAUCCUUUGAUUGAUAAAAUAGCAUGUCUUAGAUCUGGGGAUAUAAUGAUCUUUUUCAUAGAAAACAUUGGUCAUUGCUAAAAAGGAGACCAGGUGAUAUUUUUACAUUUUCUUUGUAUAAUGUGAUUAUUUAAUUACCUCUGGAAGACCAAAAAAAAAAUAAAUUACUUGGGUCUAGAGGCUUUUAGUCUUUGACUUGAUUUUUCAACAAGUUACUUAAGUGUCCAUGGAAAUUUAAAAUAAUUGUCUUUGACUCUGAGGCUUUUUGUCAUUUAGAUGUGGUCAUUUGAUAGUUAUUGGUGUCAUUAAAGGCAAGAAUAUAAUUUGGUAAAUAAAAAAUUAAAUUAAAAAGAAAAAUAGAAUCGGGAGCAGUGUUUGCCACCUAUGAACAACGUGUGUAGUAACAUUCGAUGGCCAAAACCAUGAUUCUAGGCGGCUUUCGAAGGAUCUCGAUGUCCCCACAAAUCAACGGUGCAUGUAGCACUAUAACGGCGGGUGUGACAUAUGUGGCCUUUUGUUUUUUUUUUUUCUUUUCUCCUUUCUCAUACUCAAUUUUCAUGUUGGAAUUAAAAAAUCAAAUCAGUCUCUAAAGUUUGUUCUACUUAUGAUUUCAUCCAUGUUCUCUUUAUUAUAAAAUCAUGUGGUUUUUUUCAAUUUCAUUAUUGUUCUCUUUGUUGCAUUUUUUUAUUUAGAAUAGUCUAUUAAAUUACUUUAGAUGGUUUUCACAACUGUUUUUUUUUUUUGCAAUUUCUUUAUUCUUUAGUUUUUUCCUAUCCAAUCUAAUCUUUUCUUUUAUUAUUGUAUUUUUCUUACCUUGCGAGAUAUUUUUUGAAUAAGUUUUUUUUAUUAUUUCAUUCUUCAACAUUUAAUUAGAUGAGUCUUUAGGGUUUUAGUUAAGUCUGAAUCUAGAAUUUAAUGGUUUGCAGGUUUAAGAGAUUGACCCCAGUUUCUUUGUUUUUUUUUUUUUCAUCCUCCAACAUUUUUUAUUUUUUAAUUCACUUUAUAUGAUAUUUUUUUUUACUUCCUCUUGAAAUUAAAAAUAUGAAAGGAAAAGAGAAGCAGGCAGUUGGGGAAAUUUCAUUAGGAAGGAAGGUAUUUUAUAUAUAUAGUUAAUGGAAUGUUUCAUAAAUAUACUACAAGGAUUAAAUAAUUAAUUUGAAUAAAUUACAGCGCUAAGUUAUAAUUAAAUCUUCAUUGACAUAUAGGAUUUUAUUAUUUGUUUUUUUUAAGGAGAAUAUGUACAUGCAACAAUCUUUACUGUUCCUUCAUUUAGGAAUAUAGAAUUCAAAUAUGGUUUUAAGAGUAUAUAUUUAUAGGGUACAAAUCUGUUUGUAUAAGCAAUAUUUUCAUAAAUUUAUCAAUUCUGCAGCUGGAAAAAAGAAAUAGACUCAAUAUUCCACAUGAGAAAACCGAUAAAAUGAAAGAAAAAGAGAAUUCUUUCUUUAUCCAAAAAAUGCAUAACACAAUUUUAGUUACAGCACUACAACUCAACUGUUAUAUUAUCUUAAUUAACAAAAAAAUCCAUCAUAUAAUAAGCCAAAAAAAGUCCAUUCAUAAGCUGGAGUUCUGAAGGAGGGCCAGCAAUCUCUCCGGCCUGUUUCAACGUUUCUUCCUUUUCUAUUUCUGCUUGUUUAUUUCUGGUCCCCCUCUAUUCGUGACUCUCUUUUUUUCCCCCUUUCGUUUUUGUGAUCCCCCCUCCUGCGCUCUCUCAUCAUCUCUGGCUUUAUAGCCAGAGAAUACCAACCAUUUGAAACGGCUUCAAAGCCAUUACUGCCAGAAACGGCUCCUGAGGAAGAAGGCGAAGAAGGCGAUGAAUAGCUUUCAAAAACGGUGCCGUUUGUGUGAUGGGAAUGACCAUUUUCAAUCCGGUCACUGAAGUUCUGAAAUCAUGUAAUCAAGUCCCUGGGUAAAUUGUAAUUAGACCCCUUAAUUUCGGGGAAAUUUUCAUGCUGGCCCUUGGAUUUUAAUGUUUUCAAUCUGGACCCCAAUUAAACUCCAAACUUUGAUACUUUUUCAAUUAAGUCCCUGAUUUCAUUAAUUUAAUUAAAUCUAAAGUCUAAUUAAGUCUAAAACUUAUCAAUUCUCUAAUUAAACCCUUAAUUGGAUUAAUUAAAUUAAUUCCAAGCUCAAUUAAGUCUCAAAACUUAUCAAUUUUCCAAUUAAACCCUUAAUUGGAUUAAUUAAAUUAAUUCCAAGCUUAAUUAAGUCUCAAAACUUAUCAAUUCUCCAAUUAAACCUUUAAUUGGAUUAAUUAAAUCAAUUCCAAGCUUAAUUAGAUUAAUUUCAAAGUUUAAUUAAACCCCAAAACUUCCAAUCAUAUUGCCCUUUACCCAAAUUUUAAUUCAUUCUUCAUUUUUUCAUUUUACUUGUUUUUUCAUCAUUAUUAUUUUCAUCAAUUUUUUUUAUCAUUUUCAAUAAAUAAAUAAUAAUAAAAAUAAAAUAAAAUGGUCAAAAAUUGGGUUAUGACAUUAUGAGUUAAAAAUAAAAUGAAAAAAGAACUUUUGGGUAUAAAAUACCCUUAACCUAAUCCGGUCAUUAAAUUUUGAGCAAGCAAAUGACACGUCAUUUUCUAAGGCUCAUUCUCCAUGUCUAUUUUUUUAAUAAAAAAUAAAUAAUAUAUCAUCCACCCUUUAAUACGAGAAAUUAAGAGAGUUUACCUUCUUUUUCUACAGAAACUUCAACUCAGCUACAGUUCAAGGAUUUCUAUACAGGGGCAUCAAGUUUUAAAAAGAAAGGCAAAGAAAAACUAGCCCGGCCACCAUAUCAAAAGAUGAGCUUACUUUCUCUUUUUUCGCUGUCUCUCACUUGUCCCCGUUUUCUCUUUUAAAAACUCUAAUUAAUAUUAAAUUAACAAGAAAAUACUAAAUAAAAAGGGGUUUUUAUUAUAACCUCUCCUCACAAAAUACUAUUUAUUGGAUUAAUAUUUUUUUUAUUAAUGCUUUUUUAUAAAAAAAAAUAUUUAUUUUUUAAUAUUAAAUUUGUUUUUUAUUGAGUUAUCUCACUCUCAUUGCAAGGAUCACAGGUUUAGUAGGUUUUUUUUUUCUUAAGUAACUUUUUCUUCUUAGUCUCAUCAUUUAAUACUGAGUAUAUUGAUAAUUAGGCUUCAUGAUUAUUUUAUUUGCAUUCUAUUGGGUUAUUUCAACCUCAUAAUACAUGAAUAGUUCUUAAUAAGUUAACCCAAGUUAACUCAGCUUGUUUUUUGUGUCUUUUUUUAAUUGAGUUUUUUUACAAUUUUAUCAUUCAACAUUGGAUCGGUUGAGACUUAAGCUUCAUAAUUUAUUUUAAUUAUACAUUUUACAAGGAUAUCUUAGUUUCAUUAUCAAGGUUGUGGGUUUUGACAUUUUAAAUUGAUUUUUUUUAUAUUUUUUUUUCUAAAAAAUUAUAUCGGUUUCAUGAAUUGAGUCAUGGGUCCUCAACAUUGGAUUUACAUUUUAUUAGUUUAUCUUUGUUUUCGUGACUUGGGUAACGGGUUUGGCCGGUUAACCAAGCUGACUUUUUUUUUUUUUUUUUUUGGCUUUUUCCCCAAUCUCAUUAUUUAAUAUUCUAUUGAUUUAAAAUUAGACUCAUAAUUUGUUUUAGUUUGUUUUUUUAAUAAAAUUAGAUGUUUUUUCCAAUUUCAACCUCCUUUAAUUUUUUUAUAUGUCAAAUUCAAUCACCUUUCUUUUGAUUUCUAUUUAUUUUAUUUGAAAUAAUUUUUAAAAUUAUUUUUUUAUUUCAUCCUCUGGUUUUUUUUUCCUAUUAGGUUUAAUCCUCAUUCUUUUGAUUGCUUUUAAAAAAAAAAUUAAAUGUUUUUUUUUUGUUUGCUUCAUCCUUUAACAUUAAGUGGGUGUUUGGUUUUGUGGUUGCGGGUGAGGUUCACCCGCAACCACACAAAUUUUCCGUUUGGUAACAAAACAAAAACUGCUUUUUACUAGUAGGGCCCACUGAAUUUUAAAUUGAAACCGAGGUUUUGGAGAAGCAGCAAAAUGCUGCUUCUCCUGAAGGAAAAACGCUGAACAGUGGAGCAUGGCUCCACUGUUCCCUAAACUUUUAAUCAUAGUUGGUUUUUUUUUCUUCAAAAAACCAAGAAAAGUAAAACUGUACAGUGCGAGUGAUUUUAAUUCACUCGCACUGUUCAGGGUUUUAGUUUUUUUUUUUUUUUGGAAAAACAAAGAAAAGUUUUUUUUUUUCUGAAAAAUCAGUGCAAUUAAAAAAAAUUAGUGAUUUCACUCGCACUAUUCAUGUAAACGUGAACACUAUUUUUUUUUAAAAAAACAAUUAGUUUAAGGUGAAUUAAAUUUACUUAUACUGUAAUCUCAAUUUUAUUCCUCAUAUAUAUUUACUUAAUUUUAUUGCAUGCUCAAAAAUCAUGAAAAUUGUAGUUUUUGUCGAAUAAAUUUUGUACGUAAUGAAAUUGUAAUUUUUUUUUUUAUAAAAAUUGAGUUUUAGUUGAAAAACUAGUAAUUAAUAUUAUAUUUAACACUACAUGAAUUAGAAGGAUAUAGCAUGAUGACGUACCAUUUUAUGAAAUUUGAUCGCAAUUCUAAUUAUGUUAUUGUCGGGUCCGGCCCAGUUAAAAAAAAUUCAAUUUUUAUUUUAUUUUAGUUAUGUUCUAUUUAAAAAAUUAAAAGAAUAUCGCUUGAUGACGUAACAAAAGAUUCAGUUUUGUUGUUGCGCGCUUAAGAAACCAUGAAAAAUAUAGUCCUUGUUGGAUAGAUUUCACAUGUGAUGACAUUGCACAUAGUGUAAUGGAAUAAUAAAAAUAUUUGAUAUCAAUAUUAUUUAUUUCAUGAUGUAAUAAUAGUUUAAAUUUACAAUAUUUAAAUUAAAAAUCAUUAAUAUAAAUAUAUAUAUAUAUAUUUUUAAUUAUUUUAUAACCUCAAUUUGAAAAGCAUUUUUAUUAACCAAACACAUUAAACUACUUUUUCUUCAACCUCAAUUUUAACCACAGUUUUAACCAAACACCUAUUUUUUCAAACCAAUCUCAACUAAAAGUACUUUUUAUAAAACAACUUUUUAAAACCACAACCACAAAAGCUACCGCAAUACCAAACACACUCUAAAUUGGUUGGGAAUAGAGCUUUUUGAUUGAGCCAAGGUCUAGAAUUUCACGAGUUACGAGUUUGAAAGAUUAACAUAGGUUUCGGAUAUUUGCUCAAGUUUGCUUGGUUUUCUCCCCCGUUUUAAGCUUUUAGUUUUUUAGUUUCAUCCUUCAACAUUUAUUUAAUUUAAUAUUGGGCUCUAGUGUUUUUAUUUUCUUUCUAUUGGAUUUCUCAUUGAUUUUAAAAAUGAUAUAGGUUAUAUUACUCUUCAACAUUAGGUUGUUUGAUAAUUAAGUUUCAUAGUUUUAUUCAAUUUGCUUUUAAUGAGGUUGCCCAAUAUCACAACCAGGUCACGAAUUUUGUAUGCUGGCCCAAUGGAAUCGAGUCGGGUUUUUUUUCAAAACUUUUUUGAGAUUAUAUAUUGUCUUCAAAUUUGUCCUUCAAUAUUUUGUUUAUUAGAAAUUGAGCUUCGAAUGUUUUCAAGUUUUUAUUUAAAUUUUUCUUCAUUAUCAAAUAAGAUCCUUCAACAUUUGAUUUUUUUAUUUCAUAUUUCAAUAUUUGAUUGAUACUUCAAUCUUAUACCUAUAAUCAUGGGGUAAUAGAUUAACCUGGUUUAACUCAGGUUGUUUUUUUUUUUUGCUUCGCCCUUUGAUAUUAGGUUAUUUGAUAAUUGAGUUUCAUGAUUUUAUUUAAAUUUUUUUCAACGGGGUUACCCCGAUGUCAUGACCAAGUCGCAUAUUUUGCAUGCUAACAUGGAUGGGCUCAAUUUUAUUUUUUUACCUUUUUUCAAUGUCAUUUUUUCUUUAAUUUUUUUAUAGUCGUGGUAUUUGUCAUUUGUGUUUUUCAAUUAGCCGAUCUUAUUAAACAUAAUUGAGUCAAUGACCUGAGUCUUUUUUUUUUUUUUUAUGAACACUUGCAUUGCCUUAGCAUCCUUUCUUUAUGUUGAAAAAAAUUGGGUCUACCUACGGUAUAGCGCGAGCCACCUAUCUAGUGUUACACUACUUUUUAUGGAGUUUUGAAGAAAAAACAACUAGUGGGUCAAGUAUUUCUAACCAAGACAUAACAUAAACAAAAUAAAUUAAUAACCUGUGAGGUGAUUUUAUGAUAGCACCAUUCACUAUGAAGCCUCUCACAUUUCAUUAUGAACUGGAGUAGUGAUUUUUUUUUCUUUUAAUUUUUUCUUCUUAAUUUUAUCAUUUUGUGGUCAAAUUGAUGGCCAAUUGCUUUGGGUUUGUUAUGAAAGGGUAAGAUUAAAAAGAUUGGAGACCAAAGAGAAAAGGGCAGAAAAAAUAGGUGGCAGAUUCAAAAUUAGCGAGAGAAGUUCACUUUGUUUGAAUUAUAAUUUUUUGGUCCUUUUAGUUUUUGGAAAUUUAUUUUUUUAUUGAAAAUUUUAAUUUUUUUAUUUUCAAUCAUUGGUUUGAGAGAUGAGAGAGAAGGUUGUUGGAUUCUAGUUGAAGAAAGAGAAAGUCAUUAGUUGACAUCGACCCUAGCCAUGUAAAAGGUCGAUUUUGGUGUUAGUAAGAUUCAUUCGACAAUGAGAGUUUUACUUAGGUGUUCUUUGUCUUCCUCAAAAGCAAAAAAGGUUAAUUCAAAUUGCUCUGGGUUUUUUGAUUAAUUAUUGGGUUAUUUGAGGCCAUAAAUGAAUUUAUCAAAGUCUAUAGGAUGUUUUGUAGGUGUUAUGGGUUAAAAAUAAAAUGAAAAAAGAAUUUUUGGUUAUAAAAUUCCCAUGACCUAAUCCUAUCAUUAAAUCUUGAACAAAACUGGGCAUAUUUAAAAAAAAAACAAUUGUUGAAAAAGUAUCAAAAAUUCAAAAAAUAAAUAUAAAUCAAAAUUAUGAUUUGGGAUGAAAUCAAACAUAUAAUAAAAUUUUAAAAGCAAGAAGUGGUCUAAAAUAUGUAUAAUCAGGCCAAUUAUAAUUUUGAGGACCAAUUAGGAAUUUAAUUGAAAAUAAAAUUAAAGAAAAAGGUUGAAUUUAGCCAAAUUUGCUUCAGAGAGAGGUUGGAGAGAGAAAUCAUGUUUGAGAGAAAGAAACGAGGAUUGUAAGAAAAUUAUGUAGACUUACAUUUAUUAUAUACUAAGGGAAAAAAAUAUCUUUUAAUCUAAUUUGCUUUUUCCUGUUAAACACGGAGGCAAAUCAUAAUUUUCCGAACCUUAGAUUGAAAAAAAAGAGAGACCAAAAUCAUAUGAGAAUUUUUUUUAAUUAUACCUAAAAUUUAUUAAGGAAAGAAAACAAAUUCAACAAUAGAGUACAAAGUAUAAAAUAAGAAGAAAUCCAAUAAUCAAUCUUAAAUUUGUUAGAAAAUGUUAUGUUUAGUUCACAUUUUUUUUAAUUCUACAGUUCCUUUAGUUUUUGCAAUUUUAAUUUUAGUUUAAAAUUUUAUUUUCUUAACAUUUUUAAUCCUUGAAUUUAAAAAAUAAAAAAAAAAGUCGUUUGAAAAUAAUAAAAGAGCGAUGAAGUUGGUGAAUGAGUGCUUUUCAGAGACAAAACUCAUUUCUUGGUAUCAACAAGUUUUAUCAUAUGAGAGAAGCUUGAUAGUGGUAGUUUCUUUCUAUAAACAUGCCUGAAAAAUAUAUUGAGUUCCAUUUAGAUUUUCUUAUUUGGUUUAUUUUUACUUUUUGAAUUAUUUUGGGAUUUUGUUUUUGGUACAUAGAGGUUUUUAUGGUGUUUUUAGAUGCAAAUGGGUUGAAAAAUAGAUUCUUAGGCUUGACUUUUUGACUUUUUUUUUUAUCCAUUUCCAUUAAAUGUUUCUAUUAAAUUAGCUCUGUUUUUUAAAAAAGUUUUUUAAAUAGUGAUUGAUUUUUUAUAUGUUUUUAAUUGCAUGAUAUUUCAAAGAAAUUAGUUUGAUUUGUCCUUAACAAGAUUAAAAUAAAAAGAACAAUCAAUAUAAAAUAUUUGCAUGUGUAUCUAUAUUUUAUUUCUACUAUGAAGAUUAACUUCAUGUUUUAAUAUUAAAUUAGUGAUAGCAACUCCUUUUGAUUUAUUAGUUCAUAUAUAUUUUAAUUUUUUUUAUAAAAUAUAAAUAGAUCUUUUCAUAUCUCAAUUAAAAAAAUAUAAAGUAAUGACUUCAUAAUUUAUUUUGAUGUGUUUUUCAUAAAGUUAUUAUGAUCUCAAACAAACAUCCCUGUAAUGGGUUGAGGCUUGUUUUUUAGCAUUAAUUUUUUAAUUAUAUAAUUAAAUAAAAAUAGUUUUUUUAAAAAUAUAUUAUUAAACCUAGUGAAGUUCAUGAUUCUUAUAGCGAGUUUGACAUGUUAAUCCAUAUUGACAUAAGUUGAUCCAAUAUGUCGUUAUCUUAAUAUUUUAAAAUGAAAGUUUCAUAUCGAAUUUUUUUUUUUAGUCAAAUCAUAUUUUCACUGGACUUCUAAAUUGCUUUUAGACAAACCAAGUCUAUUGGGUUAUAUUGAGACAACUCCUAGACAAUUUGAUUUGAAGUUCAAGCUAGAUAAAAAAUCAAGUUAUGAUAUUUCAAGGUUAACCUGUUAGAGUGGGUUUAAUAACAUUAUCAAUGAGUUCCUCUAACUAAUCAUUAUUUUUUUACAUUAAAUUAUUUUUUAUUCGACCAAUAAAAUAACAAGAGCCAAUUAUCUAAUUAUAUUUCUAUUAGUUGAAGGACAACACUUUUCUAUGAAAAAAGUUAAUAGAAAAUUUAUGUUGAAAGGCAAAACAAGAAUUCUGUGUGUUUGGUUGCAAAUAAACAAACUUUAUUUGCAGGUCUUUGAGAUCUCAAAAGUCCAUAAUUCACAUUUAUCAUUGUUGAAAGAGACAAUAUUAAAAUUAUUGUUUUAGUGUUAUCAUCAUUUAUUUUUUUAUCAAUUUUAUCAUUAAACUUUCAUAAAUUUUUAAUGAAGGACUUUCGUCUAAUUAUGGCUUUCCAUCCAUAUUUUCAUUCAAACUUUUUUUUUUGGUUAUAUAAUAUUAAUUUGUAAAAACUUAAUUUUUUUAGGUAAUUGUAAUAGAAAUCCUUAAUUGAAAAUCCAAAAUAGUUUAGUAAUAAAAUUAAUUUUAAAAAUAAAUUGGAUGCAAAUGAUAACACUCAUGUAGUUUAAUAUUUAAAAACAAUUAUCAUCUUAAAAUUUUAUUAAAAUUAAAUGAUAUUUUUACUUGUAUUUUAAUCUAUUUUUUAUUAUUAAAAUCACAUGCAAAGUUUGUAAAACAAUAUUAUUGUCCUCGUGAAAAUGACAGGGAAUUGACCUCUUCUCACCAUUUUCCCUUGCUUUCGUCAGGACCGCUGAAAUAAGGUAAAGGUUUUUUAGCUCUAUUUUCUAUCUCGUACUAAGAGGAACAGGAGAAUGGUUAGAUUGAGUAUCUGUUAGAAUUGUACUCUCGAAAAAUUAAUGUUGCAUUUGUUUCUUGAAAACUAGUUUAUGAGAUUUAUUUUUCAAGUUUUUUUUAUUUAUUUGUUAAUUAGAAAAAUUAAUUAAUGAAAAAUACUUUCCGGUUAAUAGAAAAUAUUUUUUGGUUAAUAAAAACACUUUCCAGUCUAAGAAAAUUUGGCUUGGUAAUAUUCAGAAAGUGUUUUCUUUUUAUUUUGGGUGGAAAUAAUUUUUUAAAGUUGUGAAAAAUUUAAAAUGUCAUAUUAUUUACUGAUUAUAUCAAAUUUGUCCUCAAACUUUUAAUUGCUAUAUAUAUAUAUUGUAUUAUUUAUUUUUAAUUUCAUCCUAUAGAAUUUAAUUUUUAUAUUAAUUUUGGUCCUUAUUUUUAUAAUUAUUGUUUGUUUUCCCUUAUAUUUUUUUAAUUUGAAAUUUUUUAUCUAUCAAAUUUGGUCUCUCAUUCUUUUGAUUGUUACUUAUUUUAUUUGAAAUAAUUUAUGAAAUGUUAAGUAUUUACUUAUUAUUUUUGAUUUCUUCAUCUUUUAAUUUUUUUAUUUUUUAGAUUUGAUCUCUAUUAUUUUGAUUAUUAUUUGUUUUAUUUGAGAUAAUUUAUGAAAUUAUAUAUAUAUAUAUAUAUAUUUUUAAUUUCAUUCUCAUUCAACUUUUUUAUUUGUAAGAUUUAUUCCUCAUUAUUUUAAUAAAUUUGAAAAAAAUGAAACAUUAAUUAUUUAUUUUUUAGCUCAUUUUCCAUGACAUACCAAAUACUGAAAAGUAUUUUUCAACUUAUUUUUCAUUACACUACCAAACAUCGAAAAAUAAAUUUAUUUUCCUACAAUUCAUUUUUAAAAAAAAAAAUUAUUUUUCAGUAAAUAAACUGUUUCAAGUGACAAUUUCCUUUCCUCCUCGAAAAUUUCACUUCGAUUUGUACUUUAUGUUUGUUUCUUCUGCCGUUUUCACUUGAAACCGAGUACAGAUUCCCUUUGACGAUACCCUGGCAAUUUUCUUUUUUCAUUAAAAAAAAAUACUAUAUCUUAUUGUAAGCGCAUCCUCUCUUUUCCUGCUCCUCGAGAAACCAAAAUAAAUAGCAAAACGUUGUUGACAAUAUUUCAAGCAGUUAAAGAUCGUGUAUUUUUAUAUUUUAAAAGUUUUAUUUUUUAUGUUUUUAAAUUUUUUAAUGUAUGAUAUAUAAAAAAAUAACAAGUAUUUAAAAUAAUGAUUAUUAUAAUACCAAACGAGCUCUUAGAUAAAGUUUUUAAUUACUAUCCCGAAACCGAAAAGACAAAGAUAAUGAUGUGGGACAGAGAAGAUAAGACAAAAAAUGAGAUUAAGACACAAUUAUAUUUGAUAGUGAUGAACAAGAUAAAGUGAUUGUCUUGUAUCAUAUUUGGUUGCUAUGGACAAAGAAAUAUAAAAUAUAAAAAAUUCUAUUUUACUCUUAAUAUAUAUUGUUACCACUUACAUUACAUAUUUAAAAAUAAUAACAUGAAAUUUUAUAUUUUACUUCAGUUUUAUAUCGAGUGAAAUUGAAAUAAUAAUAUUAAUAUAUUAUAGUUAUAAAACUAGAACUGAUUUGACGGGUUGAUUUGGAGUUUGAAUUGGUUCGAGUUUAAAAAAAAUCAAGGAAGGAUUGACUCGAUCUAGCCCAAUCGAAAACCCAAGUUAACUCGGGAUAAUAAGAGUAUAAAAAACCAAUUAAUUUUUAGUAAAAAAAUUAAACAUUUUGAGUUAGCCGAGUUGCCUACCCAUGACAUAAAUCUUGCACUAGGUUGACAUAAACCAUGUAUGAUUUUAUGGCAGAAUAAGGUGUAUGGAAAUAGACUCUUCCUAGUUAAUUUUUAUAUUUCAAUCAAAUCUAUUUUAGGGUUUGAACAUGAACCAUCUGAAGAGGUUUUUUUUUCUUGUCUAUUAUUGCUUUAAUAAAGAUAACAAAAAAGAAAAGAAAAGAAAAGGAUAAAAGUAAAACCAGAGAAAGAUUAAGAAUGCCAAAAGAGUGUGGGAUUGAUAUUGUAAUAUAAGAUGUUUUUUAAAAUUAUUUUUUUGUUUAAAAAUAAUUUUUUAAAAUUUUUAUAUCAACAUAUUAAAAUCAUAAAAAAAAACACUAAUUUGAUAUAUAUUUUUUAAAAUAUAUAUUCGAACAAAACUCACCCAAACCCAAUUAAAAAAAAAACAGAAAACAAAACGUUGCCAAGUGGAAUUAACUGGGGAGAGUCUAUUAAAUCAAGAGCAAAACAACACCCUAUUAAAUCAAAUUAAAAAAAAACAAUUUGAAGCAUCAAAGGGUGAAAUUUUAAAAAUGGAAGGACUGAAAUAAAAUAAAACCACAAAAGAGGGUGAAAAAGAGAAACAGCAGUUGGAUGCCACCAAUAGCCUUUGGUCUUAUUACAUUAGUGUGUGAUGCAGAGAUAGUCAUUGCAGAUUUUAGGUGCCUAAGUUUGAUCCUUUGUUGAGGUUCAUGCAAGUCUUUUUUUCUCCUUAUUCGUAUAGCUUUAGAUUAAUUUUAUGUGUUAUUGGAAGCGAUGAGGAGCUAGUAUCUUUCGUGCAGGUGUCAAAGUGAUCAUCAUCAGCCUUCCAUUCCUUUCUCUCUUUAGGGUCUAUUGGAUAUCUCUUUUAAGUGUCAAAAUAUCAAAGUGAUGUCACAUAUAGAAUCAAAGUAGUAUAAGGUGGAACAAAAAAUUAGGGCAAUAGUAGAAUUAAAUUUUUUAAAAAAUAUAAAUUUUAAGAGAUUUAUAUGAAGAUUUUUUAUCUGUCUAAGAAACCUCACAUAGAAAACAUCUUCAGCACUUGGUUUAAAAGGUUCGAAAAAAUUUAUUUUUUUCCUCCGUUUUUGUUAAUUUUCCAGCAAACAUGAGCUACACUCCUAUACUUGGUUUAAAAGGGGUACACACAAUCUUCAGCAUGUGAGGUUUAAAAAUGAGUAAGAAUAGUUUUUAUUUUUUUUUGUCUUUGUUGAAUUUAGUUUUUAUGAAGGAAUUUUAUUUUUAAAUUGAAGUAAAUUGAUUAAUUUUAUUUUCAACAUUUAAUUUUUUAGGUGUUGAGAUCUUGCGUUGAGCCCGGGUCAAGAAUUUAAUGGAUUGCGAGUUUGAGAGUUUAACCCAAGUUUAUAGGGUUCACUCAGGCUUCUUUGGUGUUUUGUUUCUUUUUUUAAGCUCUUUUCUUUUUUUAUAUUUCAGCCUUUAACAUUCUUUUUUACUCCCUUUCUAUAAGAUUUAUUUUUAAAAAAAAAAAAAAUAACAAGGAUUCCCUAAAAGGUUUUUUUUUUUUAUUUUUUUUUUGCUUCUUUAAAAGGAAUGUUUUUUAAUUAAAUUAAUUUUUUUGAUUUCAUCCUCUUUCAUUUUAUUUGAGGCAAUACAUGAGAGAAUUUUGUUUUUUUAAUUAAGUUUUUUGAAAAUUGGUAUUCUUUUUUAUUUCUAUGUUUUUUUUUUCUAUAAAGUUAUCUUGAUAUUAUGUCUCAAGUAAUGGAUUCAACAGAUUUACCAAGUUUGCCUCAGGUUAUUAUUUCAUUUUUUUUUUAUCUCAAGUUAAUGAUCAAAAUCUUAAAUUUUUUUUAAAAUUGCAUCGUCAAUAGUGUUUUUACUUUUUUUUUUUUUUCUAAAUCUACAUUUCUUUCUCUAAUUUCAUACUUCAACAUUUAGUUUAUUGAAGACUGAGUUUAAUAAUUUAUUUUGGUUUAUUUUAUAUAUGGUUAGCUCAGUCUUUUUACAAUAAGUAAUAUACUAAAAGGCGUGGGGAAACUACUGUAGCUUUCCCACGCCUUUUACUUAUUUAAGCUUUUUUUUUUUUUUCAGUUUCUUUUUUUUUCUUUCUUCUUUUGGGAUUUUUUUUUGUUUUUGGUUUUUUUUUUCUGUAUCAGUUUUUCCUUUUGCUUUUGUUUUUGUUUUUUCUUAAUGUUUUUUCACUUUAGCAGUUUUUUUUUUUAACGUAUGGGUUUUCACUGUAGCAACUUUGUUUUUUUUUUUUUCCCUCGCUUUUGUUUCUUCUAUUUUUUACAUAUAAUGUAUCACUGUGCACACAGCGAAACACUUGAUUUUGUUUUCUUUUUUUUUUGUUUUGCCAAUUGGUUUUUUUUUUUUUGCUUUUUUCUUUGUGUUAUUUUUCUUUUAAUGAUUUUUUUUAAUUUAGUUUGUUAAUGUGAAAAAAAAAAAUUAAUUUAGUUAUCAUACUUUCAUUACACGGAUCUCGGUUUUUUAUAUAUAUUAAGCUGGUUGAGAACUUAGCUUUAUAGCUUUUUUAAAAAAGAAAAAAAAACAUUAUGGAUUACUACAGUGUUUCCCUUGCAUGAUUUUUGUUUGGCUGCAGUGUUUCCCCCACAUGUUUAUUUUUUAAAUUAUCUUUGUUAAAUUUAUUUUUUUAAUAUUGAGUUGGUUGAGAAUUUAGCUUUAGCUUUCCCCACGUUUUUUCAUUAUAAUAAUUAUUAUAUUGUAUUAUAUUAUAUGACUGUUUUUUUCUUUUGUUUUUUCUUUUUAAUUUUUUUUAAUGAAUUUUUUUUGUUUGAUUUAGUUUGUUAAUGUGAAAAUUUUUUUUAUUUAGUUUUCAUAUUUUCAUGAUACGAAUCUCGGGUUUGAUGGGUUAACCUGAUUUGACGAGUUAUUUUUUUCAUUUAGUUUAGUUUGUUAAAGUUAAUUUUCUUUCUAUUUAAUUAUCAGACUUUCAUGACACAUAUCCUGGGUUUGACGGGUUAACCUGAUUUGAUGGCUUGACACAUAUCUUUCUAUUUAUUUUUUUUCUUUGUUUUUUUUAAUUAAUCUAUUUAAUUAUCACACUUUUAUGACACGACCUUAUAGCCCGACCCACAUCCAAUAUUAUUGGGUCCGGUGUUACAGUCAUGCUCACUUAAACUUGGGUCAUGCAAGUUUAAUUUUAUUAUUAAUAUUAUAAAUAUUACUCUUAGGUCAGGUGUUGCAGUCAAACCCAAGAUUUUUGGGUAUAACUUUGCAGAAAAACCCAAGAUUUUUAAAAUUUUAUUUUUUUUAAUAUUUUUUAUACAAAAAAAAUGACUCGCGACAUCGCGCGGGUAUCAAAGCUAGUUAUAAACUAAAAGAGGUGGUAAAUUUACUAUUUACCGCCUCAUAAAACACUAUUCAUUUCAAUAAUUUUUUUUUAUUUUGUUUUUUGUUUUCUAAAUCUAUAUUUUUUCCCCUAAUUUCAUAUUUCAACAUUUAGUUUAUUGGAGUCAGAUUAAUAAUUUAUCAUAGUUUGCUUAUAUAUGGUUAGCUAAGCCUAAUAACUCGUAUUAUGGGUUUGACGAGUUAGAUCAAUUUUUUUUUGUCUUUUUAUAAUUGGUAUUUUUUAAUUUUAUCAUUCAAAAUUGGGUUGAUUAUGAAUUAUGCUUCAUGAUUUAUUUUAGUUUGCUUUUUAUGAGGUUAUUCUGAUUUUAUAACUUAUGUCGCGUGUGUUGCGAGUUAAGUCGUGUAGACUCAGGUCUUUUAUUGUAUAAUAUUUUUAUAUUAAUUUUUUUUUUCAAUUUUAACCUUUAACAAUAAAGUUUAUUGAAAAUUGAGAUUUAUAAUUUGUUUUGAUUUACGUUCUAUAAGAUUAUCACAAUUUCAUAAUCUUGAUUGCGGGUUUUGGAAGUUAAUCUUGGUUGAGACUCACACUAUUUUUUUGUUUACUUUCUAUGAAAAAUCAAAAUAGUUUAGUAAUCAAAGGGUGCAAAAUUGUUAACAUCCAUGUAGUUUAAUGGUAUAUUUUAAAAAAAAAAGUAAUUAUUUUGAAAGUUUUAUUAAAAGUUAAUUCAUGUUUUUACCAAUCAUUAAAAUUGUAUUUUGAUUCAUAAAAUCAAUGAAUUUAAUUUAAGCUAACUUUUACGUGAUUUAAUUAAAAACUUGAAUUAGAUAAAAAAAACUUAAUUACAAAAUUAACUUAUUAAACCAAUAAUAUAAUUUACCCUAUUGACGGCUACUCAUAUCAAAGGAUUUGCGAACUAACUUCAUGAUUUUUUUUAAAGUUCGAAAUUCAGUGAUCAAGUUAAAAUUAACAUUUUUUUAAAAAAUGCUUCUUUAAUAAAAUUAAUUAAUAUAAAUUGAUGCAAUAAUUCAAUAACCCAUGAAUUCAAAGUGUCUUUAUGAGUUUGAUAGUGUUUGAUUUUCAAAAUAUUUUUUGUUUGAAAAUACAUCAAAAUAAUAUAUAUUUUUUUAAAUAAGUUUUUACAUCAAAAUAAUAAAAAACAUAUUAAAAAAAUAUUAAUUUAAAAUAAAUAAAUAAAAUUUAAUUUUUUAAAAAAAUACUUGUAAAAUAUCUAAGUAAUCAUUCAAAUUAUUUUAUUUUCUUAAAAGAAAAAAAAAGUCGGGUGCGAGAGAACCUUUGUUAUUAAUAUCACAUGCAAACUUCUUAAAACAUUAUUGUAAUCAUUAUUGACCAUUAUAUUAUUGUCUUCGUGAAAAUGACAUCUUCUGACCAUUAUUAGAAGAACAGGAGAGUGUUUUUUUUUUUUUUUUGUAACUCGGGGUAUUCGGGCCAGCUUGCGCACACCACAACUAAUCCCCGGGCUCAUUGAACAUCCUGCAAGCCCAGUGAGCAUGUAAGGCACCACGGGGGUAACAGGCGUAUACAAGUGGAGCUUGAACCCUGGUGUGGAGGAAGGGAACAAGUCCCUUCAACCAUGUAUAUAAAAAACCAUGUAUAUAUAUAUAUAUAUAUAUAAAAAAAAAAAAACCCUCGUGCAGGUCUUUGAUUUCACACACGAGAGUUACUGAACAACAACCUUGUUGGUUACUAUAUCUAUUGGUUGUAAGGAGGAGAUAAGGUUGAACAAGUGGCGACAAUCUAUUGGCUUUUCGGACUACCUUAUCUCCAUGUCACAGGUCCUUUCUCUUAAUUUUUUUCUAAAUUUGAAACUGUAAUUUGUAAUUGUAAUUCCCAGCAUAGCGCAUAUGCGAGGGUAAUCACAACAACUCAUGAGAAAAACAACACCCUAUUAAAUCAAAUUAAAAAAAAAACAAUUUGAAGCAUCGAAGGGAGAAAUAGAAAAAAAUGGAAGGACUGAAAUGAAAUUUGUUGGAUGCUAUCAAUAGCCUUGUUCUUUUAGCUUUCUGUAUAAUGUAAUGGGCAGGUCUUAUUACUUGAGUGUGUGAUGCAAGAGAUAGUCAUUGCAGAUUUUAGUUGCCUAAGUUUGAUCCUUUGUGGAGUUCCUUGCAAGUCUCUUUUUUUUUCUCCUUAUUCAUAAUUUUCAAAAAAAAAAAAAAAAAAAACAUUGACCGAUCAUAGCUUUAGAUUAAUUAUUUGUGUUAUUGGAAGCGAUGAGGAGCUAGUAUCAUUCGUGCAGGUGUCAAAGUGAUCAUCAUCAGCCUUCCAUUCCUUUCUCUGUUUGCUAGGUGAGCACUUGUGCAUAUUAUUCUUAAUUUUAUUUGUUUGUCAUUAUCUUUAUAUUAUGCUUUUUAUCUUAAUUAUUUCAUAAAAUUGCAUUUUUAUGGGAAUUGCUGCUUUAAACUCGUAAGUGUAAACUAUUUUGUUUCAAUGUAUUCGUUAGAUCGGUGGUAUGCUAUCUUUCACUAAUGAAAUUCUGUUUGUUGGUUUUGAGAAGGAAAAAAAAAGUAUUUCUAUCUUUGUUUUAUGGAAAAAGCACAUAGAUCUAUGAACUAUAUAUAUAUAUAUAAAAAAACAUUGACCGAUCAUAGCUUUAGAUUAAUUAAAUGUGUUAUUGGAAGCGAUGAGGAGCUAGUAUCAUUCGUGCAGGUGUCAAAGUGAUCAUCAUCAACCUUCCAUACAGAGACUGGUGGAAAAUGGCUAUCGAAAGUGUUGGUGGAUCCGUUGUAUCCAAGAUAGCAGAGCUCUUGGUGGAACCAGCAAUAAGGCAGUUCCGUUACAUGUUCUACUUCAACAAUUUUGUUCAAGAAUUCAAUGAACAAAAGAAGAAACUGACUUUGACACUAGAUCGUCUACAAAAUGAUGUCAAAGUUGCUGAAAGGAAUGCUGAAGAAAUUUACAAAGAUGUCAGUAAAUGGCUGGAAGAUGCAAACAACGAAAUUGAAGGUGUGAAUCCUUUGGAAAAUGAAAUAGGAAAAAAUGGCAGUUGCUUUACUUGGUGUCCAAAUUGGAUGCGACAAUUCAAGUUAAGCAAGGCACUGGCAAAGAAGACAGCGACUUUGAGAAAACUUGAAGAAAAUAGCAGAAAGUUUCCAAAAGUGUCCCACAAAGCACCUCUUCAAGAGAUAAAAUUUCUUCCAUCAAAGGGAUUCAUGCUCUCAAAAUCGUCAGAAGAAGCUUUCGAACAGAUUAUGAAAGCUCUCAAAGAUGACAAGGUCAAUAUGAUCAGACUGUACGGCAUGGGAGGGGUGGGUAAAACCACCCUGGUGAAAGAAGUAGCCAGGAGGGCCAAAGAGUUGCAGUUGUUUGAUGAAGUUUUGAUGGCUACGGUGUCCCAGAAUCCAAAUGUCACAGACAUCCAGGAUCAAAUGGCAGAUAGUUUAGAUCUGAAAUUUGUCAAGGAGAGAAAUUUGUUUUUUUCUUUUCCCCACUCUCUUACUCGAUUUUCGCAUUAAAAAUCAAAUUAGUCUAUAAAGUUUAUUGUACUUAUGAUUUCAUCCCUAUUCUCUUUAUUAUAAUUUUUUAAAUUUAGAAUACUUUAUGAAAUUAUGUGGUUUUUGCAAUUUCAUCCUUAUUCUCUUUGUUGCUUUUUUUUAUUAUUUAUUUAGAAUAGUCUACUAAAUUAAGAAUUGUUUUCAAUUUCAGAUGGUUUUUACAAUUUUUUUUUAAUUUCAUCAUUUUUUAGUUUUUUUUCUGUUAAAUCUAAUCCUUUUUUUUAUUAUUGUAUUUUUUUGACCUUGCAAGAUUUUUUUAGAUUGAUUUUUUUAUUAUGUCAUCCUCCAACAUUUAAUUAGCUGGGUCUUUAGCUUCUUAGUUGAGUCCGGGUCUAAAAUUUAACGGUUUAUUGGUUUAAGCGAUUGACCCUAGUUUCUUUUUUUUUUUUUUCCUUUUUUUUCCAUCCUCCAGCAUUUUGUUAUUUUUUAAUUCACUUUAUAUGGUAUUUUGUUUAGUCUUUUUUAAAAUAAUGCAGGUUGGCUUGGUUUUUUUUUUUUUUUUGUCUUUGUUGAAUUUAGUUUUUAUGAAGGAAUUUUAUUUUUCAAUUGAAUUAAAUUGAUUAAUUUCAUCUUCCAACAUUUAAUUGUUUAGGUGUUGAGCUCGUGUUUUGAGGUUGGGUCAAGAAUUUAAUGGAUUGCGGGUUUAAGAGUUUAACUCGAUUUUAUAGGGUUCACUCGGGUUUCUUUGGUGUUUUGUUUCUUUUUUUUAAUCUCUUUUCUUUUUUUCAUAUUUCAACUUAUAACAUUCUUUUUUUAUUCUCUUUCUACAAGAUUUAUCUUUUUGUUUAAAAUAGCAAGGUUGCCUUAAAGUUUUUUUCUUUCUAUCUUUGUUAAAUUUUGCUUCUUUAAAAGGAUUUUUUUAAUUAAAUUAAUUUUUUUAAUUUCAUCCUCUUGCAUUUAAUUUGAGGCAAUACAUGAGAGAAUUUUGUUUUUUUAAUUAAUUUUUUUGAAAAUUGGUAUUUUGUUUCUACUUUUUUUUUUCUAUAGAGUUAUCAUGAUAUUAUGUCUCAAGUCAUCGAUUCAAUAGAUUUACCAAGUUUGACUUAGGUUUACAUGUAAAAGUUAUCUUACAAUACUUUUAACGAAAUAUAUUUUUUUUAAAAAAAAACAGCAACUAAAAGUAUUUUUGUUAAACCUAUUUUUUCAAAUCGCAACCAUAAAAGCUAUCAUUAUUGUAUGUUUGGUUAAGUGGUGUAAAAUGCUUUUACAAAAAUAUUUUUCAAUUAAAAAUGUAUUAAAAUAUUUUUUUUCAAUUAAAAAAAAACACUUCAAAAUCAUUAAAAAAUACUUAAAAAUUAAAUUAACAAUAUUAAUUUAAUAUUUUUUAAAAUUAAAUACAUUUUCAAAAGUAAUUAAUUUAAAUAAAAAAACUUAAAUUAACAAUGUUUUCCUUUAUAUUAUACUAUAUACUAAAAAAUAUCAACCUUUCACAUGGAUUCACAUAGUGAAAGGCUAAAUGCUGAUUUUACCUUUUAGUGGGCAAAGUAGCAUGCCUUGAAUUUAGAGAUAUAAUGGUCUUUUUCAUGGGACACAUUGAUCAUUAUUUGAAAGGGUAGGGCUAAACGAUCUUUUUGUAUUUUCUUUGCACAAUGUGAUUAUUUAAUUACCCUUGGAGAGCAAAUAAAAUCGCUUGGGUCUAGGGACUUUUUAGUCUUUGACUUGAUUUUUCAACAAGUAUAUUACUUCAUUGUCAUUGGAAAUUUAAAACAAUUAUACAACUCUGAGGCUCUUUUAUCAUUUAGAUGUGGUUAUUUAGAAGUUAUUGGGUGUCAUGGGAGACAAUAAGAUAAUUUGGUAAAUAAGAAAAUUAAAUUAAAAAAAUAUAGAAUCAAGUGAACAAUGUUUGCCACCUUCGAACGGUGUGUGCGACGUCAUCUGAUACCCAAAAUGGUGAUUCCAGGGAGGCUUUUGAAGGAUCUCAAUGUCCCCCUACGAAUCAACGACACGUGUAGCACUAUAGCAAUUGGUGUGAUGCGUGUGGCCUUUUGUUUGUUUUUAUUUUCCCUUCUCUCCUACUCAAUUUUCAUGUUGGGGUUAAAAAAUCAAAUCAGUCCCUAAAGUUUAUUGUACUUAUGAUUUCAUCCUUAUUCUCUUUAUUAUAAUUUUUUAAAUUUAGAAUACUUUAUGAAAUUAUGUGGUUUUUAAUUUCAUCAUUGUUCUCUUUGUUGCCUUUUUUUAUUUAUUUAGAAUAGUCUACUAAAUUAAGAAUUGUUUUCAAUUUUAGAUGGUUUUCACAAUUUUGUUUAGACCUUGCAAGAUUUUUUUAGAUUGAUUUUUUUAUUAUGUCAUCCUCCAACAUUUAAUUAUCCAGGUUUUUAGCUUCUUAGUUGAGAUCGGGUCUAAACUUUAAUGGUUUGUUGGUUUAAGAGAUUGACCCUGGUUUCUUUGUUUUUUUUUUCCAUCCUCCAACAUUUUGUUAUUUUUUAAUUCAUUUUAUAUGGUAUUUUUUAGUCUUUUUGAAAAUAACAUAGGUUGCUUUGGUUUUUUUUUUUUAUUUUGUCUUUGUUGAAUUUAGUUUUUAUGAAGGAAUUUUAUUUUUAAAUUGAAUUAAAUUGAUUGAUUUCAUCUUCCAACAUUUAUUUUUUUAAGUGUUGAGCUCUUGCGUUGAGCCCGAGUCAAGAAUUUAAUGGAUUGCGAGUCUGAGAGUUUAACCCGAGUUUAUAGGAUUCACUCGGGCUUUUUUGGUGUUUUGUUUCUUUUUAAAGCUCUUUUUUUUCAUAUUUCAACCUCUAACAUUCUUUUUUACUCUUUUUCUAUAUGAUUUAUCUUUCUUUUUAAAAUAACAAGGGUUGCCUCAAAGUUUUUUAUUUUCGAUCUUCGUUAAAUUUUGCUUCUUUAAAAGGAAUUUUUUUUAAUUUAAUUUAAUUUUUUUUUAUUUCAUCCUCUUGCAUUUAAUUUGAGGCAAUACAUGAGAGAAUUUUGCUUUUUUAAUUAAGGUUUUUGAAAAUUAGUAUUUGUUUUUCUACUUUUUUUUUUCUAUAGAGUUAUUUUGAUAUUAUGUCUCAAGUCAUGGAUUCAAUAUAUUUACAAAGUUUGACUCAGGUUUUUUAUUUUUUUCAUUUCUUUUUAUUUUUUUUUAUCUUGAGUCAAUGAUCAAAAUCUUAAAUUUUUUAAAAAAAUUGCAUCGUCAAUAGUGUUUUUUUUUCCUUCUAAAUCUAUAUUUCUUUCUCUACUUUCAUACUUCAAUAUUUUUCUGUACAUUGAUUGGUUGGUUGGUUGAAUGGUACAGUCCUCAUUUUCAUUUACUGUUGGAAAUACACAAAAAAAAUCCCUUUCAAGUUUUAAGUUACAAAACGACGUGCAGCUCAAUCAAUGCCUUCAUUGCCUACCGCCUUCAAAAAAUCAACUCCUUAGUUAGUUUCGUCCUUGUCUCGCGUAGAACGACAUCCACUUUAAAUGACAGCCACAGGAGAUGUUUGACUUCAAGUUUUAAUUCAAGAAUUAAUAUGUGAACAAAUUACAAGAAUUAAUAUGUAAUAAGUUAAGUAGAUGGUGCUAAUAUAUCAAGAUGACUAGUAAAUAAAUAUCUAUAAAAGGUUUUGUUUGAUAAGUAAAAGGAUUUUUAAAUGUUUAAAUACAGAGAAAAUAUAAUAAUAUUUUAGAGAAAUAAAUUUUAAAAAUAUAUAUAUAUAAAAUAAAAACUCGGUGCAGGUCUUUGAUUGCACACACGAGAGUUACUGAUCAACAACCUUGAUGGUUACUAUCAAUUGGUUGAAAGGAUGAGAUAAGGUCGAACGAGUGGCGACAAUCUAUUGGCUUCUCGGAUUACCUUAUCUCCAUGUCACAGGUCCUUUCUCUUAAUUGUUUUCUAAUUUUGAAACUGUAAUUUGUAAUUGUAAUUUCCCAGCAUAGCGCAUAUGCGAGGGUAAUCACAACAACUCAAGAGAAAAACAACACCCUAUUAAAUCAAAUUAAAAAAAAAAACAAUUUGAAGCAUCGAAGGGUGAAAUAGAAAAAAAUAAAAGGACUGAAAUGAAAUAAAUCCUUGGUGGAUGCUAUCAAUAGCCUUUUUAGCUUUCUGUAUAAUGUAAUGGGCAGGUCUUAUUACUUGAGUGUGUGAUGCAAGAGAUAGUCAUUGCAGAUUUUAGUUGCCUAAGUUUGAUCCUUUGUGGAGUUCCUUGCAAGUCUCUUUUUUUUUUCUCCUUACUCAUAAUUAAAAAAAAAAAAAAACAUUUGCCGAUCAUAGCUUUAGAUUAAUUAUAUGUGUUAUUGGAAGCGAAGAGGAGCUAGUAUCAUUCGUGCAGGUGUCAAAGUGAUCUUCAUCAGCCUUCCAUUCCUUUCUCUCUUUGCUAGGUGAGUACUUGUACAUAUUAUUCUUUUAUUUAUUUGUCAUUAUCUUUAUAUUAUGCUUUUUAUCUUAAUUAUGUCAAAAAUUUGCAUUUGUGGGAAUUGCUGCUUUAAACUCAUAAGUGUAAACAAUUUUGUUUCAAUGUAUUCGUUAGAUCGAUGGUAUGCUAUCUUUCACUAAUGAAAUUCUUUUUAUUGGUUUUGAGAAGAAGAAAAAAGUAUUUCUAUCUUUGUUUUAUGGAAAAGCACAUAGAUCUAUGAACUAGAUAUAAAAAAAGAAAGGAUAGAUAUUCCCAUUACUUAAUAAUCGAGGAAAUGAGUGUUUAAAAUUAAGAUAAUAAAAUUGAAACCAAAUCAGCUUCAUUAGAUAAAGCUGUUGUGUAAAUAAGUGUGACUUUUACUCGUGACAUAGACAGAGAUAGUCAUUACAGAUCCUUUGUUGAGUUCGUUCCAUUAAUUAUGUCAUCAAAUUGCAUUUUUUUUAUGGGAAUUGCUACUCUAACUCGUUAAGUUAGAAUCCAUGUAAACUAUUUUGUUUUAAUACUUCUCCUCUUUUCAACAUAAAGUCGUUCUUUUAUAAAUAUAUUCAUUAGAUUGAUGAUAUGCUAUCUUUUCUUUUUAUUGGUUUUGAGAAAAAAAAAAGUAUUUCUAUCUUUUUUAUGGAAAAGCACAGAGAUCUAAGAACUAUUGUGUAAAUAAUUGUUAGGGUAAGUGUGAAUUUUAACACAUGGCAUGGAUAGCUAUUGAUGAGGGGACAAAGGGAUUACAAUGAUCUAUGAACUAUUGUGUAAAUAAUUGUUAUGUUAGGACAAGGAAUUAAAUGUUUAUCGUUCUACUUAUACCUUGCCUUGUUGCUCUUGAAGCUGGCUUCCAUACAGAGCUAAAGGCCUUCUCCUUUUGUUCCUCUCGCUAUAUUUUAUUAUUGAGCAGUCAGUACCAGUGCUUUCCGCAUAUAUUUUCACAAAUUAAGGUAAUAAAAUUACUAUUCUCAUUCUCUCAAUGCCUAUUUUACUUGUAAUGACUCACUCUCACGUUCUGUAUCCUUAUUUCUUUGAUUUUCAGACCGGUGGAAAAUGGAUAUCAUAAGUGCUGCUAUAUCCAAGAUAGCAGAUCUCUUGGUGGAACCAGUAGGAAGGCAGUUCCGUUACAUGUUCUGUUUCAACAAUUUUGUUCAAGAAUUCAAUGAACAAAAGAAGAACCUGGCUUUAACACUAGAUCGUCUACAAAAUGAUGUCAGAGAUGCUGAAAGGAAUGCUGAAGAAAUUUACAAAGAUGUCAGUAAAUGGCUGGAAGAUGCAAACAGCGAAAUUGAAGGUGUGAAUUCUUUGCAAAAUGAAAAAAAAAUGGCAAAUGCUUUACUUGGUGUCCAAAUUGGCGACAAUUCAAGUUAAGCAAGGCACUGGCAAAGAAGACGGAGACUUUGAGAAAACUUGAAGAAAAUAGCAGAAAGUUUCCAAAAGUGUCCCACAAAGCACCUCUUCAAGACAUAGAAUUUCUUCCAUCAAGGGAUUCACACCCUCAGAAUCGUCAAAAGAAGCUUUCGAACAGAUUAUGAAAGCUCUCAAAGAUGACAAGUCAAUAUGAUCGGACUGGUACGGCAUGGGAGGGGUGGGUAAAACCACCCUGGUGAAAGAAGUGGGCAGGAGAGCCAAAGAGUUGCAGCUGUUUGAUGAAGUUUUGAUGGCUACGGUGUCCCAGAAUCCAAAUGUCACAGACAUCCAGGAUCAAAUGGCAGAUUUUAGGUCUGAUUUGACGAAAAGAGUAAAAAGGGAGAGCAGUCGUUAUGGCAGAGACUGCAGGGAAAGAAGAUGCUUAUAAUCCUGGAUGAUGUUUGGAAAGAUAUUGACUUGAAAGAGAUAGGGAUCCCAUUUGGUGAUGCUCACAGGGGUUGUAAAAUUCUUCUAACAACACGUCUUGAAAACAUAUGCUCUUCUAUGGAUUGCCAGGAAAAAGUGUUUUUAAGAGUCCUAUCUGAAAAUGAAGCAUGGGCUUUAUUCAAAAUCAAUGCAGGUUUACGUGAUGAGGACUCUGACUUGAACAGAGUGGCAAAGGAGGUUGCGAGAGAAUGCCAAGGCUUGCCUAUAGCACUUGUGGCAGUGGGAAAGGCUCUAAAAGAUAAAUCUGAACAUGAGUGGGAAGUAGCAUCUAAGAGCUCAAAAAAUCUCAAUCUCGGCACAUGGAAACAUUUGAUGAACGAAGAAAUGCAUAUGCAUGUCUUAAGUUGAGCUAUGAUUAUUUGAAGCACGAGAAAACCAAGUUAUGUUUCUUGCUAUGCUGUUUAUUUCCAGAAGAUUACAACAUUCCAAUUGAGGACUUGACGAGAUACGCAGUUGGCUACGGGUUAUAUCAAGAUGUGGAGUCCAUUGAAGGUGCAAGGAAACGAGUUUAUGUGGAAAUCGAAAACCUCAAAGCUUGUUGUAUGCUGUUAGGAACUGAAACUGAAGAAUAUGUGAAAAUGCAUGACUUGGUUCGUGAUGUUGCUAUUCAGAUAGCAUCAUCAGAAAAAUACGGAUUCAUGGUAAAGGCUGGCUUUGGGUUGAAGGAGUGGCCAACGAGCAAUAAAAGCUUUGAAGGUUGUACAGUAAUCUCGUUAAUGGGCAAUAAACUAGCAGAACUUCCUGAAGGAUUGGUGUGUCCACAGCUCAAAGUUCUAUUAUUAGAACUGGAUCGUGGUUUGAAUGUUCCAGAGAGGUUUUUUGAAGGGAUGAAAGCAAUAGAAGUUUUGUCUCUAAAGGGAGGGUGUUUGUCAUUGCAAUCACUUCAAUUCUCAACGAACCUUCAAUCGUUGCUGUUGAUGAAGUGUAAUGCAAGGACCUCAUUUGGUUGAGAAAGCUGCAAAGACUUAAGAUUCUUGUUUUCAGGUGGUGCGACUCCGUUGAAGAAUUACCUGAUGAAAUUGGGGAGCUCAAGGAGUUAAGGUUGUUGGAUUUGACAGGUUGUCAAAAUCUAAGAAGGAUUCCUGUGAAUUUGAUAGGAAGGUUGAAGAAGUUAGAAGAACUGUUGAUCGGGGAUCGGAGCUUCAAGGGAUGGGAUGUUGUUGGAUGUGACAGCACAGAAGGAAUGAAUGCAAGCCUAACAGAACUAAGUUCGCUGUCUCAUUUAGCUGUAUUAUCAUUGUGGAUACCGAAGGUUGAAUGCAUUCCCAGCGAUUUUGUUUUUCCCAGCUUGCUCAAAUAUGAUAUAGUGUUAGGGUAUUCAC